GUGGGGAAUUUUGGACAAUGGGCGAAAGCCUGAUCCAGCCAUGCCGCGUGCAGGAUGAAGGCCUUCGGGUUGUAAACUGCUUUUGUACGGAACGAAAAGACUCUGGUUAAUACCUGGGGUCCAUGACGGUACCGUAAGAAUAAGCACCGGCUAACUACGUGCAAGCAGCCGCGGUAAUACGUAGGGUGCAAGCGUUAAUCGGAAUUACUGGGCGUAAAGCGUGCGAAGGCGGUUAUAUAAGACAGAUGUGAAAUCCCCGGUCUCAACCUGGGAACUGCAUUUGUGACUGUAUAGCUAGAGUACGGUAGAGGGGGAUGGAAUUCCGCGUGUAGCAGUGAAAUGCGUAGAUAUGCGGAUGAACACCGAUGGCGAAGGCAAUCCCCUGGACCUGUACUGACGCUCAUGCACGAAAGCGUGGGGAGCAAACAGGAUUAGAAACCCCAGUAGUCC
rnacentral:rRNA from 1 species